rnacentral:lncRNA from 1 species
GAUUGGGAUAUUCCGACUCCUUAAGGGCCUGGCGCACAUAAGGUGUGACCUUUUCAUUCCCGUUGUUAUGGAGGGCCACAUCUGCCAGAGCCUGGAGUCUGCGAAGGCCGGGACCCGGUUCCCCGGCCCACAGUGGGGGUGUGCAAACCCGAGAGAACUGGGUUGCAAAUUCGUGAAGAAUCAGCAUCAUGUUUGGCAGCUGAGUAUUGGAGCCAGGAGCCUGCCAUGAGGUUUUGAGAACAGAGUGCUGUUUUAGAGCUGGCAGCAGCAUCUCAGCCCAAGAGAAGUUUCUUUGCAGGUUAUAUUCCCAGAGGAUGUCAGUCCCAAGGACCAGUAGCUGCCAUCAGUUUGGAUUCUGAAAACUAACUGGCAUCAACACUGGGUGUAGAAACAUGCUUGCCUUAUGUAUCAGAGGACAUGCUCAGCAGAUCCAAGAGAUAUAUUUGGCAACUUUUUCUAGAAAAGGCACAUUGGGUAUCAUUCAUUACAUUCUUGAGUUUUUUUGGGUUUUUUUUUUUUUUUUUGAGACAGUCUUGCUGUAUUGCCCAGGCUGGAGUGUGGUGGCACAAUCACAGCUCAUUGCAUCCUCAAUCACCCAGGCCUAAGCAAUCCUCCCACCUUGUAGCUGGGACUACAGCUCACAGCACACCUGGCUAAAAUUUUUUUUUUGUUGAGACGGAUUCUCUAUGUUGCCCAGGCUGGUCUCAGGCUCCUGGGCUCAGAUGGUCCUCCUGCCUCAGCUUCCAAAGGCACAGGCCAAGUUGUAGCUUUGUCCCUUGCCAUCAUGCCCAACAAGAGGUUCUAUACCUUUUAAUGAAUUGACUUUCAUAAAUUGGUUAUGUUGGUGGGCAAAGUUCUUUAAGCUGGAAAUUGUAAAUUCCUCCUGAAAUGUUUUUUCAUGCAGUUACCAUGAACUAAUACUACAAUAAAGGAUG